rnacentral:rRNA from 1 species
UACACGCUGUGACUAGCAUAUCAAUAAGCGGAGGAAAAGAGGAUGUACCUACGCUUAGGAUGUUGACGAGACUGUCGAUCUCAUCUAUACAUGACUCUGUGCAUAUCAAUAAGCGGAGGAAAAGUACUACCUACGCUUAGGAUGUUGACGAGACUGUCGAUCUCAUCUAUACAUGACUCUGUGCAUAUCAAUAAGCGGAGGAAAAGAAACUAACAAGGAUUCCCCUAGUAACGGCGAGUGAAGCGGGAAGAGCUCAAAUUUGAAAUCUUAAAGGGUUUCCCUUUACGAAUUGUAGUUUAAAGAAGUGUUUUCUGUUGAGGUUUUGGUAAAAGUUCUUUGGAAUAGGACAUCAUAGAGGGUGAGAAUCCCGUAUUUGACCUUUACUUUCAACUUUGUGAUACACUUUCAAAGAGUCGGAUUGUUUGGGAAUGCAGUCCAAAAUGGGUGGUAAAUUUCAUCUAAAGCUAAAUAUUGGCGAGAGACCGGUAGCGAACAAGUACCGUGAGGGAAAGAUGAAAAGAACUUUGAAAAGAGAGUUAAACAGUACGUGAAAUUGUCAAAAGGGAAGCGUUUGACACCAGUGUUGUUUUUCUGAAAAUCAAUUAAAGAACUGUUUAUGCUAAGUUGUUUAGACUUUAUCAGCUAUCUGUUUAGUUUUAGGCUUUUCUUUAAUGCACUUUUCAGUUAACAAGUCAACAUCAACUUCUUUUGCUGUAAAAAAGCUUGAGGAAGGUGGCUUGAGAUUCGUCUUAAGUGUUUAUAGCCUCUUGCCUAUGCAGUCGGAGAGAUUGAGGUCUGCAGCGUAGAUCCUUCGGGGCUAAAUGCAUUUGUGCUAAGUUAUAGCAUUUUAUAGACAACUUGUUGACUAUGAUUUGUCUUGUAGCUUACUCGCUUAUGUUAUUUUACCUACGCUUAGGAUGUUGACGAGACUGUCGAUCUC